UACGUAGGGGGCAAGCGUUGUCCGGAAUCAUUGGGCGUAAAGAGCGCGUAGGCGGCCCUGUAAGUCCGCUGUGAAAGUCAAGGGCUCAACCCUUGGAUGCCGGUGGAUACUGCAGGGCUAGAGUCCGGAAGAGGCGAGUGGAAUUCCUGGUGUAGCGGUGAAAUGCGCAGAUAUCGGGAGGAACACCGGUGGCGAAGGCGGUUCUCUGGGCCUUACCUGACGCUGAGGAGCGAAAGCGUGGGGAGCGAACAGG
rnacentral:rRNA from 1 species